CACCGCGCUGACCUCGCUGGAGCAGACUCGCGCCUACCUCCUGGCCGACGGGACCUGCAAGUGCGGCCUCGAGUGUCCGCUCAACAUGCACAAGGUGUUUAACUUCGACCCGGGGGCGGCGGUGGCCGGGCGAGGGGCCCCCGGGGCCCAGGGCCAGCAGGACAUGACCAAACUCUGCAACCACCGCCGGAAAACGGUGGCCAUGGCCACGCUGUACCGCAGCAUGGAGGGCGCCCCGGGCCCCGGCUCCCGCCGCCCCGGCACAGGUCCCGGCUUGAGCCCGCUGUUCCCGGCAGGGGGGCGCCCGGCCGUGCCCCCCGGCGUCCCCCCGCCCAGCGCCGUCGGCAGCUUCCCCAGAGCCCCCACGAGGGCAAAGACCCCCGAGGCCGCCCCCGCGGGGGACCGGCUUGUCCCCCCACCCUUCCCGCGGCCCCGUGACGUCUUCCCGGGGGCCAACGGCAGUCCCGAGAGCCGCCCGCCGCCACCGUCCCCCCGCUUCGGCCGCCGCCUGCCCCCGCCGGACGCGGCGGCGGCCCCCAGGCCUCCCGCCGAGGACGCCCGGAGCCACCGUCCCGUGGGCAGGACUAGCGCCCGUGCCGCUCCGUCGCCGGUGGGGGCCGG
rnacentral:lncRNA from 1 species